rnacentral:piRNA from 1 species
GCGGGGUCCCGGCACCGCGGCUCUCUG